rnacentral:rRNA from 1 species
UAAGCCGUUGAAGGUGUGUCGUGAGGCAUGCUGGAGGUAUCAGAAGUGCGAAUGCUGACAUAAGUAACGAUAAAGCGGGUGAAAAGCCCGCUCGCCGGAAGACCAAGGGUUCCUGUCCAACGUUAAUCGGGGCAGGGUGAGUCGACCCCUAAGGCGAGGCCGAAAGGCGUAGUCGAUGGGAAACGGGUUAAUAUUCCCGUACUUGGUGUUACUGCGAAGGGGGGACGGAGAAGGCUAUGUUGGCCGGGCGACGGUUGUCCCGGUUUAAGCGUGCAGGUGUGUGUUCCAGGUAAAUCCGGUUCACUUUAACACUGAGGCGUGACGACGAGGCACCACGGUGCUGAAGCAACAAAUGCCCUGCUUCCAGGAAAAGCCUCUAAGCCUCAGGUAACAUCAAAUCGUACCCCAAACCGACACAGGUGGUCAGGUAGAGAAUACCAAGGCGCUUGAGAGAACUCGGGUGAAGGAACUAGGCAAAAUGGUGCCGUAACUUCGGGAGAAGGCACGCUGACACGUAGGUGAAGUGGUUUACCCAUGGAGCUGAAGUCAGUCGAAGAUACCAGCUGGCUGCAACUGUUUAUUAAAAACACAGCACUGUGCAAACACGAAAGUGGACGUAUACGGUGUGACGCCUGCCCGGUGCCGGAAGGUUAAUUGAUGGGGUCAGCGCAAGCGAAGCUCCUGAUCGAAGCCCCGGUAAACGGCGGCCGUAACUAUAACGGUCCUAAGGUAGCGAAAUUCCUUGUCGGGUAAGUUCCGACCUGCACGAAUGGCGUAAUGAUGGCCAGGCUGUCUCCACCCGGGACUCAGUGAAAUUGAACUCGCUGUGAAGAUGCAGUGUACCCGCGGCAAGACGGAAAGACCCCGUGAACCUUUACUAUAGCUUGACACUGAACACUGGUCCUUGAUGUGCAGGAUAGGUGGGAGGCUUUGAAGUGUGGACGCCAGUCUGCAUGGAGCCAUCCUUGAAAUACCACCCUUUAAUGGCUGGUGUUCUAACGUGGGCCCCUGACCGGGGUUGCGGACAGUGUCUGGUGGGUAGUUUGACUGGGGCGGUCUCCUCCUAAAGAGUAACGGAGGAGCACGAAGGUUGGCUAAUCCUGGUCGGACAUCAGGAGGUUAGUGCAAUGGCAUAAGCCAGCUUGACUGCGAGCGUGACGGCGCGAGCAGGUGCGAAAGCAGGUCAUAGUGAUCCGGUGGUUCUGAAUGGAAGGGCCAUCGCUCAACGGAUAAAAGGUACUCCGGGGAUAACAGGCUGAUACCGCCCAAGAGUUCAUAUCGACGGCGGUGUUUGGCACCUCGAUGUCGGCUCAUCACAUCCUGGGGCUGAAGUAGGUCCCAAGGGUAUGGCUGUUCGCCAUUUAAAGUGGUACGCGAGCUGGGUUUAGAACGUCGUGAGACAGUUCGGUCCCUAUCUGCCGUGGGCGCUGGAAGAUUGAGGGGGGCUGCUCCUAGUACGAGAGGACCGGAGUGGACGCAUCACUGGUGUUCGGGUUGUCAUGCCAAUGGCACUGCCCGGUAGCUACAUGCGGAAGAGAUAAGUGCUGAAAGCAUCUAAGCACGAAACUUGCCCCGAGAUGAAUCUUCCCUGAGCCUUUAAGGCUCCUGAAGGAACGUUGAAGACGACGACGUUGAUAGGCCGGGUGUGUAAGCGCAGCGAUGCGUUGAGCUAACCGGUACUAAUGAACCGUGAGGCUUAACCUUACAACGCCGAAG